UACGAAGGGGGCGAGCGUUGUUCGGAAUUACUGGGCGUAAAGGGCGCGUAGGCGGCCCCUUUUGUCGCGUGUGAAAGCCCCGGGCUCAACCUGGGAACGGCGCGCGAAACGGGGGGGCUUGAGUUCGGGAGAGGAGAGUGGAAUUCCCAGUGUAGAGGUGAAAUUCGUAGAUAUCAGGAGGAACACCAAUGGCGAAGGCAGCACUCUGGGACGUGACUGACGCUGAGACGCGAAAGCGUGGGGAGCAAACAGG
rnacentral:rRNA from 1 species